CCUGCAGCGCCCCCUGCCCCGGGAGCAUCGCCCCCAGCCCCGAGCCGCAGGAAUAUCCCAUUCCUAAAACUUGGCCAGAUGGCGGAAGACACCUCAAGGAAGAUGAGGAUGCCCCAGGACACCCAGGCAGAGAAGGAGCUGAGGAUCAAGAUCAGGGACAACAAAUCCCCACAGCACAACCUCAUGGAAGAGGCCGGUUUGAGUGG